AUAUUAUUUGCCAAAAGGGUGAAAUGGAAAAGCUUUUGCUGGUCUGUUUUUAUGAGUAUCUGUUACUUAGUCACUACUUUUAAAAACACUCGAUUGUUUGUGUUAAACAGGCUCAUAAGAAAUGACCAGGGACGUAGAUAAUUGAUUAUUGGUAUAUGGGUACAGUUAGAACAGUCCUAAACUAUUUGGCAAAACAAUAAUGAAAACAAUCCAAAUAGCUUUGAUUCGGUUCGAAUAUUGCACAUUAGUAUAGAGGGUACCCAAAAAUAUUAUGUGUAAAUGGAAUGACAUUUUUUUCGCUUGUUUCAUGAAUACAAAAUGAUAUAAAUAUAGGUAGUAUUUGAAAUUCGGUUUCUUGUUGAAAUUUCAAGAUUUUGUAACUUUUUUGUUUAUAAUUCCUGCAAAUAUUCGCAGAAUCUACUAGGUGGUAUUUUUUAAAAAGUGUUUCUUUCUUAAACCUUUUAUAAUGGGGCGCUGAUGACACAAUUCACAUAAUACAAUUUUUGAAUUAUGCCAUUAUCGAAUAUCUGUAAAUCGCUAAAUACAAAGUAAUAUUUGUACAAGUGCAGUCUAUGAAUGAAUGAAGUAAUUAAAUUUAAACUCGUAACUUGUGCUUU
rnacentral:lncRNA from 1 species